rnacentral:lncRNA from 1 species
ACUUACCUGAUCAAUUUGAUGGAUUAUGACUGAUCUAGAUGCCAUUAAGGUUGAUCAGUGUGACUGAUUUAGAUAUCAUUUCAACUAGUAUGAUCAUGAUUCAAUUUAAUGACUUGAUAAAGUCAGUGGGAGGAUUGUGGUUUACUGAUUGAUCUCUUCUCUUCUCUUGAUUCAUAAAUUAAAAUUUUAAAUUAUUAAGUUUCUAAAAUGAGAUAGUUAUGGUGAUAACUA